CCAUGGCGGCCGCGGGAAUUCGAUUAGAGUUUGAUCAUGGCUCAGAACGAACGCUGGCGGCAGGCCUAACACAUGCAAGUCGAACGAUAAGCCACCUUCGGGUGGUGGACAGUGGCAGACGGGUGAGUAACGCGUGGGAACGUGCCUUUCGGUUCGGGAUAACCCAGGGAAACUUGGGCUAAUACCGGAUACGCCCUUCGGGGGAAAGAUUCAUUGCCGAAAGAUCGGCCCGCGUCUGAUUAGCUAGUUGGUGAGGUAACGGCUCACCAAGGCGACGAUCAGUAGCUGGUCUGAGAGGAUGAUCAGCCACAUUGGGACUGAGACACGGCCCAAACUCCUACGGGAGGCAGCAGUGGGGAAUAUUGCGCAAUGGGCGAAAGCCUGACGCAGCAACGCCGCGUGAGUGAAGACGGCCCUAGGGUUGUAAAGCUCUUUCAGCAGGGACGAAAACAGACGGUACCUGCAGAAGAAGCCCCGGCUAACUACGUGCCAGCAGCCGCGGUAUACGAAUCACUAGUGAAUUCGCGGCCGCCUGCAGGUCGACCAUAUGGGAGAGCUCC
rnacentral:rRNA from 1 species